CCGAGCCAUGUCAGUCCUUACCUUGGGCGCCGCCGCUAGCUGGCCGGAGGCCGUCGUCCAGGGCCUCCUCUUCAUCCUCGCCGCGGGCAUGCUCGUCGCCCUGCACUCCCUCCCCCGUCGCGUUGCUCACCGCCUCCGACGCAGGGCCGGCAGCUCCUCCGCCGCGCAGUCGCGCCGGCACUUCGCGCUGGGCGCCCAGCUCCUCGCCCGCGCGCGUGCCGCCGCGCCCAAGCCGCCGGGCCCGCUUGCCCGCGCGGCCGUCGCAGAGGCGGACCGCGCCAUCGCGCUCGACCCCCGCGACGCCGCGCCGCUGAUCCUCAAGGCCCUCGCGCUCGACCUCCAGGGCCACCGCCUCCCCGCGCUGCGCACCCUCGACGCCGCCCUCGCGCCGCCGCUCGCGCGCUCCCUUGAGCCGAGGGAGCGCGGGGACGCUCUCGCCAAGCGCGCCGAGCUCGCGCUAGCGCUCAACCGCCGCCGCCGCCUCGACCAGGCCGCCGCGGAUCUGGCCGAGGCAGUCCGCCUUAGCCCCAAGAACCCCCGCGCUCAUGCUCUACUUGGUGAGUGCUACGAGAGGAAGGGCCUCACUGCCGAAGCCAGGAGGUCCUUCAAGACCGCCGCGUCCCUUGACCCAUCUCUGGCUACUGCGCGCGACGGCCUCCAUCGGACAGGCGGGGGCAGCGACGGCAACGAGAGUGAUUGAUGUAAGCAAACUUGCCUUGAUUCUUAUCAUCAACUUGUUAAUUGCAAAGUAUGCAGUAUAGAUUAAAGAUCACAGGCUCCACAAACGCAAAGAGAGCAAAAUAAAAACUUGAUUAGGACCUGUUGUUGGGCAAGCAUUUGUAACUGUUGUUGUAUAUUUUGCGGUGGAAUGAACGAUCCCCUUUAAGACAAAAAAAUGGUAAAUGUUUCAUGUAUAAUGCUGUGUGGCUUUGCUGUAGUUGCUUACCUUGAAGAUAUGUUACUUACUUAUGGUCCACUGUUGCUGA